UCCUGCAGCCUAGACCCGCUACUCACUGAAACUAAGCAGGGCUGAGCCUGGUCAGUACCUAGAUGGGAGACCACAUGGGAAAACUAGGUUGCUGUUGGAA
rnacentral:rRNA from 1 species